rnacentral:rRNA from 1 species
CAAUCACUUGUCUUUUAAAUGAAGACCUGUAUGAAUGGCAUAACGAGGGCUUAACUGUCUCCCUUUUCCAGUCAAUGAAAUUGAUCUCCCCGUGCAGAAGCGGGGAUUAAAACAUAAGACGAGAAGACCCUAUGGAGCUUUAGACAAAGAGCAGACCAUGUUAAACACACCUAAAUAAAGGACAAAACCAAUUGGCCCCUGCCCUUAUGUCUUUGGUUGGGGCGACCGCGGGGAAACAAAAAACCCCCAUGUGGACUGAAGACAUUCCUCUUCACAACCAAGAGCCACAGCUCUAAGCAACAGAACAUCUGACCAACAAGAUCCGGCACUAAGCCGAUCAACGGACCGAGUUACCCUAGGGAUAACAGCGCAAUCUCCUUUUAGAGCCCC